ACAUUUAGGGAUACAGAAAUCGUAUCAACGGAUUAAGGAUAAGUUCAAAAUCCCCGGCCUUUUUAAAAGAGUAGAAAACUUCGUGAAGACAUAUGACACGUGUCAAAAGGAGAAACUAACAUGUAUCAGACCCAAAGAGUCGUCACAGAUCUUAGACACGCCACUUCAUCCUAACAACAAGAUCGCUAUGGACAUCAUAGGGCCGAUGACGAAAACCAAACGCGGAAAUCAAUAUAUACUUUUAAUUCACGACGAACUUACGAAAUAUCGGAUCCUUGUUCCCAUUAAAACGCAACGAACUGAAUCUAUAAUUAACGUGCUCAUUAAGCACUGUGUUCACAUAUUUUCGGCACCAAAGACGAUUCUAACAGACCAAGGACAAAAUUUUAUUAGCGAUCUAAUGACGAAUUUAGAAGAGGCCUUUCAAAUCAAACACGCCAAAAAACUUCAUUUCACGCACAGAGUAACGGAUCCCUCGAAAGAACACAUGCCUUGGUUAAAGAUUUAAUUCGUACUGCAUUACACGACAAUGACAAAGAAUGGGAUGAAAUACUUAAUUUCAUUUGUUUAGGAUACAACACUGCAAAACAUGAAGAAACAGGAUUCUCCGAAUUGACUUUUGAGCGAAAAGCGAACUUACCUUCUGCAAUAUCUAAAUUCCCCACAUUUACCUAUGACGGAUAAUGCUGACCCUAGCACUAAUAACAAUACCCUUGGUUAGUUGUCUUAAAUUCACAGGAUAGGAAUUACGAUUUAUAAACAAAUUCAACCAAUUCUACUACGAUCUUAGAGGACCAAGAUCAAUCAAACUGGGGGAAGCGUGGCAAUGGUUACGUACGCCUACAGAGUAGUGAGGAUAUUGAGGAAUGAUAAACAAAGAAAAAACAGAUCCCACCGAAAGUCAAAUUGUAAGAGUUUCAGUCUUGGAAAGUCACGGCUGGAGCUCAGAACCAAAUCGCAGUCAGUGUAAACUCAGAAUACAAGAAAUAAAAUCUCUUGUUUUUUUGUUACCUUAUUUUUUUCUUUUCGUUCGAGCUACCCCCUUUUUUAUUCUACGUGACACCCGCCACGCUAAGACAAGCUAACAUAUACGCUGUCCACGUGAUUUUUCCAAACAUCGAGGACUAAUAUUCACUACUUAAAAAACAAAAGAGCCUAAAAAUUAUUUAAGUAAAUAAAUAUUUUAAUAAAAAUUCAUAAUGCACCUUAAUAUUUCUUUACAAUGUUAUUGUUCGAUUAUAACUUUAUUUAGUCAUAACUGAUAGUGUAAUUUUUUAAUUAAUUUUAACACCACUAGAUUGGUGUAUUUUAUUAUAUGCUGUACAUUAUAGAAGCAGAAAAAGUGGCGCACUUAAUUGAAAACAAUUCCAGAUAAACAAUAACUGUU